rnacentral:lncRNA from 1 species
CCUCGAGGCUUCGCGCGGACCUGGAGCCCCAGCCUGCAGUCCGGCGCCGUCGCAAGGGGCCUGGCAGACACUGGGCCCCCGAGCCGCGGGCCAGCGUCCUGAGGGGCAUUCAGGACACUUGGCAGGGCCACCCCGGCCGAGCAGCCCCUUUGGAGGGCGUGGACAGAGCCCCCUCGGGCAAGGCCGCAGGGCCCCCAGAGAGCGCGACUGAGGAAAGCGACAUCAACAUCACCAGCGAGGAAGAGGACCCCCAGGAGCAGCCUGCCCAGGGUCCCAGUGGCCCCAGAGAGAAGGACAGCAGUGGCCGCAUCCCUCCGGCUGUCCCAGAGAGCCAGAAGGUGCCACCAGAGGGUCCCUGCUGCUACAUCUGCGGGUCGGCGCUGUCCCCGGCCUCCCAGCACGAGGUCUACGUGCAGAAGCAGGAGCAGCUGCCCCAGGCGCCCUUCUUCCCCUUCCUGUGGUUGCACAGCCCGCCGCCCGGCGCCUGGCCCAUCAGCGAGGCGGGCAGCACGCUUGUGUGUCCCUGCUGCUUCGAGUCCCUCCGGCAGCAGUGGCAGAGCUUCGAGUUGGCCGGGGUGCCGGUCCUGCAGCGCCUCUACGUGGUGCCCCUGAACAGCCGCGCCCCCGGCAUGGCCUCCAAAGGCAGGACCGAGGCCCCGCCCCGGGCAGCCCUGCCUGAGGCCUGCUACCUGUGCGGCGAGGACUGCACCCCUGACGCCCGGGCCGUGCCCUCCCGCAUCCUCAACGGCAGCGCGCGUGGCACCAUGCACUUCCCCUUCCUCAGCCUCCUGCCCUGCCCGCCCAACGCCCAGGCCCCCAACAAGCGCUCUGAGGUCCGCAGCUGCCCCAAGUGCUUCAGCGUCCUGGAGGACGUGUGGGCCCUGUACCGGACUUGCCAGAACCAGGAGCUCAUCACCUCCGUGCAGGGCUUCCUGGGUCGCUACCACCAGGCCUUCUCCGCCUCUGACCCCGCCGUCUGCGACCCGCCCGCCUCGGCGCCUGGUGCCCCAGCUUCCGUGUGCUACAUCUGCGGUGUGGAGCUGGGCCCGGGCAAGGAGUUCCAGCUCAAUGUGAACCCUGCCAGCCGCCUGGGCGAGAAAGAGCCCUUCUUCCCCUUCCUGACGGUGUACCCGCCUGCCCCGCGCGCCAGGCCUGCCGACGCCACCGGCCUGGUGGCCACCUGUGUGCUCUGCUACCACGACCUGCUGAGCCAGUGGCUGCAGCACGAGGCCCAGGGGUCGCACCAUGCGGUCAGUGCCUGGUCCCGGCAGUACCAGGUGGACACCUUCGUGUGCUUCUUCUGCCAGCAGGAGAAGCGGCGCUGCCUGGGGCUGACCACGGUGCGGGUGGCCCGCCUGCCCCUCUUCCUGUACACCCUUCGAGCCAGCCACAGCCUGCUUGUGGACGAUGGGCGGCAGCUGAUCAUUGGUGCCUGCCUGGAGUGUGGGACCCUGGUGUGUGCGGGCCAAGGGCUCACUCGCCCGGGGCCCAUGGGGUGGAGCUCCCCGGUGGCCACAGCAAGAAAGACUCUGUCAGGAUGUCUCAGGCAUCGAGAACACUCAGCACUGGGACCCAGGAAAGCCACUUACGGAGGGUGUCCCAAAGGAAGAGACUUGCAAGAAUGAAGCCCAGCACCCCAGGAGUCUGAGGCAGGAGGAUCAGAAGUUCAAGCCCAGCCCGGGCAACCUAGUGUUUCAGAGAGACCCUGCCUCAGAAUAGAUAAAAAGGGCUGGGGUGGAGCUGAGAGGGAGGACCCCAGGUUCAAGCUCCAGUACUGGGAAGAAAAAAGAAUUAAAACGGAAACGAAAACAUUCCUUGCACUGUUACUUGUAAGAGUGGGA